rnacentral:misc_RNA from 1 species
AACACCCCUCAGAACUUUUUGAUUUUCGAAUCAUUGAGCUCUGGAUUUGAGUGAUCCCAACGUGUACUUUCGCAGAACAUGGCGGGCCACUUGAAAUGCAGGUGCAGCUGGACUUUGUUCUGAGCUAAAAGCAUAUUUAUUUAGUCCUGUCAACACUUGUGUUGCGGAUUAUUACUUCUGCUGCAGCUAACAUAAAGGAAGAUUGUUCAAAUGCUGACUGAUGCAGGAUUUCUCAGUGGGCGUAAAAGCCAACUGUUAA